rnacentral:rRNA from 1 species
CUUAAAGGAAUUGACGGGGACCCGCACAAGCGGUGGAUGAUGUGGUUUAAUUCGAUGCAACGCGAAAAACCUUACCCACCUUUGACAUGUACGGAAUCCUUUAGAGAUAGAGGAGUGCUCGAAAGAGAACCGUAACACAGGUGCUGCAUGGCUGUCGUCAGCUCGUGUCGUGAGAUGUUGGGUUAAGUCCCGCAACGAGCGCAACCCUUGUCAUUAGUUGCUACAUUCAGUUGGGCACUCUAAUGAGACUGCCGGUGACAAACCGGAGGAAGGUGGGGAUGACGUCAAGUCCUCAUGGCCCUUAUAGGUGGGGCUACACACGUCAUACAAUGGAUGGUACAAAGGGUCGCCAACCCGCGAGGGGGAGCCAAUCCCAUAAAGCCAUUCGUAGUCCGGAUCGCAGUCUGCAACUCGACUGCGUGAAGUCGGAAUCGCUAGUAAUCGUGGAUCAGAAUGUCACGGUGAAUACGUUCCCGGGUCUUGUACACACCGCCCGUCACACCAUGGGAGCGGGUUCUGCCAGAAGUAGUUAGCCUAACCGCAAGGAGGGCGAUUACCACGGCAGGGUUCGUGACUGGGGUAAGUCGUAACAAGGGGCCGUUC